GGAUUACCAUAUGAUUCAGCAGUGCAUGCCUGGGUUAGAGAACUGACAGCAGGCGCUGGAACUGGCAUUUCUACUGCCAUACGCACAGCAGCGUUAUUCACAAUAGCCAAAAUGCGAACGCAACCUCAGUGUCCAGCGUCCAUCAGCAGAGGAAUGGAUGAGCAAAAUGUGUAUGUACACACAACAGAAUAUUAUUCAGCCUUGAGAAGGAAGGGAAUUCUGACAUCUGCUCUGUCUUGGAUGAACCUUGAGGACACUCUGCUAAGUCAGUAAGCCAGACACAGAGACAAAUAGCGCCUGGUCCUUCCUAGAGCUAGAGAGGAAAGGUGACCUGGUUAUCCUUCUCAGCUAUUUAUGCAGCAUGGAAAAUGAUUGUCUGGGCAAAGUGGGUGAAUGGCACUUUACAAAAAACUGAUUUAAUCAUUGACACCAGUUUAUUUGAGAGGGAAAAAAAUGCUAAUGGUCAUUUCCAAUCAUGUUAAUUGGCUUCUGGCUCCAAUGAGCCAUUCAGAGAAUGUCCAGUGACAAGUUUGUCCUGAAAUCGUCUGACUGAGAGUUCCGCCAUCAGAACUCAGCAGUGCCAAAUCUCAGGUACUGCCUGGUGACCGAAGGGCAGGGUCGCUUCCUGGAGACAGCAAAUCCUCUGGAAAGCAAGGAACACCCUUUGGAGUGGCAUGUGUCCUCUUCCACUCAAAAGGCCAGAUCUUCAGGUCUUUUGUUUUUAUAACAACUGUUUUAUUUCCAGACCUAAAAUGACAUGAUCUUUAAGGUUUAUGAAUCCUCUCAAGUUUAACAAAUUAGCUUAAAAAAUUUUAUUCAUUUAUUUGAUAGAGACAGAGCGCAUAUAUGGGAGGAGAAGAAGAAGCAGACUCCCCCCUGAGCAGGGAGCCUGAUGGAGGACUCAAUCCCAGGACCCUGGGAUCAUCACCUGAGCCAGUGACAAACAUUACACCCACUUACCCACACCCCAUUAUACCCACACCCACUUACCCCCAAUGACCAAGGAUUGCUUCAGAUUCUAUCGCUCGCACUUCUUCGUAAGGCCCACGGGGAGCCCCUGGUCUGGCCCCGUGCUUCCCUCUCCAGCCUUGUUUCUGGGCUAACCUCCUCCUCUCCCCUUCUGCUCCCUUGCCCACUGGGGAAAGUCUUGCUCAUCGUUCUGCAAUAAUACAGCUCCUCAGUCUCUUGCCUGCAAUUCCAAAAUCCACAAAGCUCUGCCCCACUGCAAGGUUUUUCAUUAAGUUUGCAGGAUCAGCUUCUCCAGCCAAGAACCCAUUGUGUUGAGCAAAGUUGGGCUCAUUGACUUGUUGCCACAGGGGCGAACCCGCACAGCUGGUGUUCUGAUUACCUCCUACUCGCCGCAGGAUGAGGGUACCCCUGCCCUCAAUGAUAUGACGCCUGGCACUGGCCAGGUGAGAUGGACAGCAAUGAUUAGCCACAUAGACUCACUGCCGGGGAAAGGAGGACACUGCCCACCACAUGGGGCCACUCAGGGUUGCAGUCAAGAGCAGAGCGAAUCAGCAAGAGCUGUAGGCUGCCCUUUAUAAUAACGGGAUGGGGUGUCCCCUGGUUCCUACAGGGGGAUGUGAUUGGCUUCCAGGCUUGCAGGAAAGCUGAGCCCCCCACAGACUGAGGAUGGGGUGCAGUGUGGCUGGUCUGACUGGUGAAGAACUGGCUGGGUGAGGAGCCUUUCUCAACAACGAGAGUGGUAGAGACACAUCUGGAGAGAGCAGGGGACCCAGGAAGCCCCAGAAGGCUCAAAGAUAUCAGGGCGGCCCUUGAAUGGUUAGGUCUCACAACCCUGUGAGGAGCCCACCGGCAUCUCUGGGAGGGUUAACUUAGAAGGGAUCACAGGAUCUGGUCCGCGUUAGGGAGAGGGGGAGUGUUUUGGACUGGCACUGACAGGACAUAAGGUAAUUCUGUGAUUAGGUUUCUCAAUCCAUCUUAUCUAGAAGGAAAGAGGAACGAAGCAGAACUAAUGCCCUAACUAGUCAAGAAGCAACAGUCACUCAUAUCAGCCAGGAUAGGGGGCUGUUGGGUCAUGUUUGUGGUCUGGACAAUGUUCCUGUUUUUGAGCUCAAACAUGACUACAGCUGGUCCUGUUUUGUGUUGACCCAUCACCGAGGCAGAGCCGCGCUAUCAGGUGCUGGUGUGCUAUGAAGUUGUUUAUGUUCACAGGAGCACACUGAGGCCCUCCCAGCAGCCCCAGGACUCGCGGUGCCAGGCCACUUCCUGAUUCAGGGGCUGUUCUUCUCUUCCCCCCAUACCCUGCGGAACCAGAGGCCUGCACAGUUGGUCCUCAGAACCUAGGUCUGCGGCAUGGAGAGCUCUGACGUGGCCAACUGUGCUGCUCAGGGGUUUGCUUAGAGAAAGACAUUGCAGCUGGGCUCUGGUUACACACCCUCCCACUGCCCUGCAGUGUCUCACAGAACGGUUGCUACACUGAAGUCAUACAGAAUCUGUCAGCCACCUGCUGCACAGGUCGUUAUCAGAAACAAACCUGGCUACUGGCUCUGGUACCAGAUCCUGAAGAUGAGGACCUCGAUGGCCAAACCCAGGCUGUGAAAACCUGCCCUAGGGUCCAACUGGCUUUCCCUGGAGGACCAGGUGGCUUUUUCUUUUUAAAGCCUAGCCAGCCACAAACUAUUCUACUUGACCCAUCAUAUUUAUGUGGUGUUUACAUAGGUGCAGCAAGAAUGUCCAUCUGAGCAUAAAUUCCCCCUGGGCUCACCAAUAAGACAUUCAGGGCUUCAUGAUCCACUAACGAAUGGACAUUCCACCUGGUUGGUGGGAAUGGCAGUUGUGCCACUUAUGACAUCUGCUAGGGUCAGGGACAAGUUUGGGAUGAGAAUGUUCAUCCACCCAUGUUACCCCUGCGUAGGUACUGCAGCUGGCAUCAUGUUCUUGAAGAGAGUGGUCAUCUCUCUGGGCACUCCCCCAGGUAGCCUGUGCUUGCAUCUUUUUCAAGGUUUCUGGGUGUUCUUUCUCAGGGAAACAUGAUCCACUGGAGCGGUGGUCAUUUUAAACAUCUGAAAGUCUCAAACAACCAUGCUGAGUACCCAGGGUAAGUGAGCAUAUGGCAGGUGGCUUAAGCCUGAUGGUCACAUAGCAAGUAGCAUCCAUAGCUAUAAUAAAGAAAGAUGAACAGUCACAAGUGUUGAUGACAAUGGAGAGAAAUGGGAAGCCCCACAGCUAGGGGUAGGAAUGUAAAAGACUGUAGGCACUGUGGAAAACAGUGUGACAGUUCCUCAGAGUGUUAACACGGAGUCACCGUCUGACCUGGCAGUUCCACCUCUAGCCAUAAACACCAAAUAAUUGAAAACCUGUACACAACUGCUCAUAGCAGCAUUGUCCACAAUAGUAAAAAGGUAGGAUUGGCCCAAAUAUCCAUCUGUGGCUGGACGGAUUAAAAACUGAUCUAUCAAAAAAAAAAAAACAAAAACAAAAA
rnacentral:lncRNA from 1 species